rnacentral:lncRNA from 1 species
GCAUUCGCAGAUGCUGCGCUCAAGGUCUGCUCCUUGAGCAUUGACGAUGCCAAAGCUGCGUACCCCAAUGCUUGGGACACGGAGUACCUCUGCAUGGACCUUGUCUACGAGUACACACUGCUUGUGGACGGCUUUGGUGAGUUGGAGUAGCAAUGUAGCUAGCUUGCAUAUCGUUAAAUUAACUACUACCACAUUCGUGGAAAAGAAAUACAAUUCUAGUUCUUAUUCUUAGCCAAACUUUGUAAACUUUAACAUAGGCAAUUUUUUUCGCACAGGUUUGGAGCCGAGCAAAGAGUUCACGCUGGUCACAAAGGUGAAGUACGGAGAAUACUACGUUGACGCAGCGUGGCCGCUAGGCGAUGCAAUAGAAACCUUGUCGUCCCAGAAGCUGAACCAAAUCGCAUGAUCAAUAAUGCUUAACACAGUGUCUGAUAAAAAUAAUGAUGUUUAAAGAAUGUGCUACAGUUGAUGUAAUGAAGAGACAAAUCACCUCUUUACUUGAUCAAAGCUCUUUCCAUCUAACAAAUGUUUAUGGACCAGCACAUUCUGAUAGCAAGCUUGCUUUUAUCACCUGGCUAAUCAAUCUUGACUCAUCUGAUUUCGAGGACUGGAUUCUGCUUGGAGAUUUCAAUCUAUACAGAGCCCUGAAAAUAGAAAUAAACCAGGGAGAAACCCAUCCGAAAUGCAACUUUUCAAUGACUUGAUCUCGGAUAUCAACCUUUUUGAUUUGCCUUUCAGUGGAAGGCAGUAUACGCGGAGUAACAUGCAGGAUGAUCCACUUCUAAUCAAACUGGAUUGGGUACUCGUUUCCUCCCAUUGGAGCCUUUCCUUCCCGAUUACCAAUGUUCAGCUUCUGUCCAAGCCAGUUUCCGACCAUACCCCCUUCGUUGUAAACAUUGGGAACAAUAUCCCUAAAAGCUUUGGCUUUAGAUUUGAAAAUUUUUGGGUGGACAUUCCUGGCUUCUUAGAAACUGUCAAUCUUCA